ensembl:lncRNA
GUUAUUAUGGUUUAAAACAGCUAUGUUUAUUUUCACUGUAAACUGCAGUAAGAAAAAUAGAAUUGCUAUUAUUUCUUUAUAGCACAACCAAACAAUCAGUAGUAAGCUUACUUUGUGCAAAACAAAAUGUUAAAGACUCAGAAAUAGUCAUCAUUUUAUUGAGGGAAUUGGGCGUGUUUGUGAAAGUGUCGCAUGAACAGAGUUUUCCAUUCACCCCAAAAGGGGGAAAAAAAUGUAUACUCUAGAGCACCAUGCUAAUCCAUGUUUAAGACAAAUAUACAUAAAUAUCUUAAACUAUAAUUUACACAAAAAGCCAAGGGGGGGGGGGAUAUUAGUUCAAAGAUAAAUCACAAAACUUCCAGUGCAUCAAAGAAAGAGUUAAAAAAGACCAACACUGUGAGCCUCAGAGGCAGACGACCCCAAAAAGCAAACACACCCCAAUUCACUAUCUGUCAUAGGGAUGGUCUUCAAGUAUCUGUGGCACAAACAUGGUGAACAUACCCCUUUAGCACACAUAAAAAAAACAUUUUUUUUUUCAACAAAAUAAACAAAAAGUUAAUGAAAUCUGUACCACAUUUAGUAAUCUUAGAUUAGGCCUAAUCAUAAAAAAAGACGUUUUAGUCAUCUUUCAGAGCAACAACACCUGCUUUGAAAUGCACAGAGUACCCACUUAACUGCUCUUUCGUUGUGGUAAAAAAAACAUUUCAUUGCAUGAAGUGAGAUCAUGAAAAGCACUUUACAUUGCUACCUUAAAAAGGGAGGCUAUGAAGAGUUUAGACAGUUUAUUAUUUGUUCAUAGAAAAACAUGUUACGAAUUUUAUGCAAAUUUAUUGAAACUUAAAAUACAGAAAUGUCUCAUUUACAUAAGUAGUCACACCCCCUUUUGCUAUGACGCUCCAAAUUGAGCUCAGGUGCAUCCAAUUUCCUUCCAUCCUCCUAGAGACAUGAUUGGAGUCCACCAAUGAGCGGCCAACUCAAUUGUUUGGACAUGAUUUAGAAAGAAACACGCCUGUCUAUAUAUGGUCCUACAGUUGACAGCAGAUGUCUAUAUAUGGUCCUACAGUUGACAGCAGAUGUCUAUAUAUGGUCCUACAGUUGACAGCAGAUG